rnacentral:rRNA from 1 species
GACGAACGCUGGCGGCGUGCUUAACACAUGCAAGUCGAACGGAAAGGCCCUGCUUUUGUGGGGUGCUCGAGUGGCGAACGGGUGAGUAACACGUGAGUAACCUGCCCUGGACUUUGGGAUAACUUCAGGAAACUGGGGCUAAUACCGGAUAGGAGCUCCUGCUGCAUGGUGGGGGUUGGAAAGUUUCGGCGGUUGGGGAUGGACUCGCGGCUUAUCAGCUUGUUGGUGGGGUAGUGGCUGACCAAGGCUUUGACGGGUAGGCGGCCUGAGUGGGUGAGCGGCCCCGUUGGGACUGAGAUACGGCCCAGACGCCUACGGGAGGCAGCAGUGGGGAAUAUUGCACAGUGGGCGGAAGCCUGAUGCAGCAACGCCGCGUGCGGGAUGACGGCCUUCGGGUUGUAAACCGCCGUCGCCUGUGACGAAGCGUGAGUGACGGUAAUGGGUAAAGAAGCACCGGCUAACUACGUG